UCCGAGUUGACCCCGGCAGUCUCCUGUGAGUCCCCAUCACCCCGAAAGGCAUGCUGGCAACACAGAACAAGGGUUGCGCUCGUUGCGGGACUUAACCCAACAUCUCACGACACGAGCUGACGACAGCCACGCAGCACCUGAACCGCCGGUCCCCGAAGGGAAGACCCCAUCUCUGGGGCUGUCCGACGUUGUCUAGCCCAGGUAAGGUUCUGCGCGUUGCGUCGAAUUAAACCACAUACUCCGCCGCUUGUGCGGGCCCCCGUCAAUUCCUUUGAGUUUCAGUCUUGCGACCGUACUCCCCAGGCGGCGAACUUAACGCGUUAGCUUCGAUACUGCGUGCCAAAUUGCACCCAACAUCCAGUUCGCAUCGUUUAGGGCGUGGACUAC
rnacentral:misc_RNA from 1 species